rnacentral:rRNA from 1 species
UACGGGGGGGGCAAGCGUUGUUCGGAAUCACUGGGCGUAAAGGGUGCGUAGGCGGGUCUUUAAGUCAGGGGUGAAAUCCUGGAGCUCAACUCCAGAACUGCCUUUGAUACUGAAGAUCUUGAGUUCGGGAGAGGUGAGUGGAACUGCGAGUGUAGAGGUGAAAUUCGUAGAUAUUCGCAAGAACACCAGUGGCGAAGGCGGCUCACUGGCCCGAUACUGACGCUGAGGCACGAAAGCGUGGGGAGCAAACAG